rnacentral:rRNA from 1 species
UACAGAGACUGCAAGCGUUACUCGGAUUCACUGGGCGUAAAGGGAGCGCAGGCGGACCGGUGUGUCAGAUGUGAAACCCCAGGGCUCAACCCUGGGACUGCGUCUGAAACUGCCGGUCUAGGGACUCGGAGGGGCUAGUGGAAUUCCUGGUGGAGCAGUGAAAUGCGUAGAUAUCAGGAGGAACACCAACGGCGAAGGCAGCUAGCUGGACGAGAUCAGACGCUCAGGCUCGAAAGUAUGGGGAGCAAAAAGG